UCGGCGUUCCGCGCCGCGGAUAACCGUAGUAAUUCGUAGGGCUAAUACGUGCGAAGCGCCGAAGCCGCGAGGCGACGGCGUUCUCGCCGGAUGUAGGAACCGACCCGGGGACCGCCGGGGCAACCCCGGCGCCCCCGAGACGGGGCGAACCACGGUGAAAUGACGGAUCGUCGGCCCCGCGCCGGCGACUCGCCGAAUGAGUUUCUGACCUAUCAACUCGAGACGGCGGGGUAGAGGCCCGCCGCGGUAACGACGGGUAACGGGGAAUCAGGGUUCGAUUCCGGAGAGGGAGCCCGAGAAACGGCUACCACUUCCAAGGAAGGCAGCAGGCGCGCAACUUACCCUAAUCUCGAUUCGAGGAGGUAGUGACAAGAAAUACCGAUGCGGGACCCUACGGGUGCCGCGUUCGGAAU
rnacentral:rRNA from 1 species